AAAAUGAAUAGCCUCGCUAUACCACAUUCACACAUUUGGAUGACUGUGUACUGGGGUAACCCCCGUCUGGAAGACCAAUAUUCGCGUGUUGGAUGGUAAACGGUAUAGCCUUCGGCAACCUCACCUUAUGUGAACUGAUUCGUCCCUGGUGGGAGGGCAGUGAAAACUGCUUGUCAGCAUUGUAGUUUUACGGUGCCGUGGACAGCCCAUCAA
rnacentral:misc_RNA from 1 species